UGGGGAAUCUUGCGCAAUGGGCGAAAGCCUGACGCAGCAACGCCGCGUGUGCGAUGAAGGUCUUCGGAUCGUAAAGCACUGUCGGGAGGGACGAAUAAACUUACGGCUAACAUCCGUAAGAGAUGACGGUACCUCCAAAGGAAGCACCGGCUAACUCUGUGCCAGCAGCCGCGGUAAUACAGAGGGUGCAAGCGUUGUUCGGAAUUAUUGGGCGUAAAGCGCGUGUAGGCGGCCAGGCAAGUUGGGUGUGAAAGCCCUCGGCUUAACCGAGGAAGUGCGCCCAAAACUACUUGGCUUGAGUACCGGAGAGGAUGGCGGAAUUCCCGGUGUAGAGGUGAAAUUCGUAGAUAUCGGGAGGAACACCAGCGGCGAAGGCGGCCAUCUGGACGGAUACUGACGCUGAGACGCGAAAGCGUGGGUAGCAAACAG
rnacentral:rRNA from 1 species